GAUUACUACAACAGAGGUCUGUUUCUUAUAAAUUUUUGGAAUAAUGAAGAAGAAUAGACCUACAGAAUAGAAGAAUAGAUCAUAUAUAUGCAUCGUACAAUGCCCUGAGCAAGGCAGCAGCAUAGUAGUCAUAACUGAAGGAUGAUUACAGUACUCCUGCAUUUCCACACAAAGGCUUUCUGUAAAUGUAAACAGCACUGAACAAAACAGUUCCGCAGCCCAUUUUGAUGUCAAUAUAAUUGACUGCAGCAGAGUUGGAAACAGGAAAGAACAUGCAUAUAUACAUAUACUUCCCCCUACACCGCAGACUUCAUGAUACACGAAGAUAGGAAGAUUCGCUUUCAAAAAUGAUGCACUUCUUACAGAAAUUCAAGACAAAUGGAAGCUCAAAGUGGUAAAGGAGACAGAAGACAAGCCAUUGUUUUGACAGUGCUACUGGCAGCUGAGGAGUUAAGAAGGUAGCUGUGGGACGUACUCUUCUUAUGUGCUUUGGACAAACUAAGAAUGAAGCAGGAAGAUGUCUGUCACAGUGAAAGGGAGCCAAACCACAGUCCAGGGCCACUCUUUCCUAUGACCAGAAUAGUAUGUGCUUGGCAUUAACUAACAGUACAAGAGAGCAUAUUGUUUUCCCAGGUACUGCACUUCUCAGGAUCGAGGAGUCUUGCCUUGUCUAUUGCAGUGGAAAACAACAAACUUUCAUUGAUUUAAGGUAGGAUACUAUACCAACCAA